AGAAAUCGGGCAUAUCAAAUCAAAUUGUCCAAACAUCAAAAAGGAGAAGAAACCAUUCAAGAAACAAAGAGCAUACAUCUCUUGGGGAGGUGACCCCGGAGACGAAUCAAGUGAUGGAGAAGGAAACGAGACCGCAAACUUAUGUCUUAUGGAACACGAAGAAAAUCAAAAUGAGGUAUGUACUUCUUCUAAGAACUAUUUCAC
rnacentral:lncRNA from 1 species